rnacentral:rRNA from 1 species
GCAAGUCGAGCGAAUGGAUUAAGAGCUUGCUCUUAUGAAGUUAGCGGCGGACGGGUGAGUAACACGUGGGUAACCUGCCCAUAAGACUGGGAUAACUCCGGGAAACCGGGGCUAAUACCGGAUAACAUUUUGAACGCAUGGUUCGAAAUUGAAAGGCGGCUUCGGCUGUCACUUAUGGAUGGACCCGCGUCGCAUUAGCUAGUUGGUGAGGUAACGGCUCACCAAGGCAACGAUGCGUAGCCGACCUGAGAGGGUGAUCGGCCACACUGGGACUGAGACACGGCCCAGACUCCUACGGGAGGCAGCAGUAGGGAAUCUUCCGCAAUGGACGAAAGUCUGACGGAGCAACGCCGCGUGAGUGAUGAAGGCUUUCGGGUCGUAAAACUCUGUUGUUAGGGAAGAACAAGUGCUAGUUGAAUAAGCUGGCACCUUGACGGUACCUAACCAGAAAGCCACGGCUAACUACGUGCCAGCAGCCGCGGUAAUACGUAGGUGGCAAGCGUUAUCCGGAAUUAUUGGGCGUAAAGCGCGCGCA